AAGUGGAUUAGUGGCGCACGGGUGAGUAACGCAUAGGUUAUGUGCCCUUUAGUCUGGGAUAGCCACUGGAAACGGUGAUUAAUACUAGAUACUCCCUACGGGGGAAAGUUUUUCGCUAAAGGAUCAGCCUAUGUCCUAUCAGCUUGUUGGUGAGGUAAUGGCUCACCAAGGCUAUGACGGGUAUCCGGCCUGAGAGGGUGAUCGGACACACUGGAACUGAGACACGGUCCAGACUCCUACGGGAGGCAGCAGUAGGGAAUAUUGCUCAAUGGGGGAAACCCUGAAGCAGCAACGCCGCGUGGAGGAUGAAGGUUUUAGGAUUGUAAACUCCUUUUGUAAGAGAAGAUU
rnacentral:rRNA from 1 species